UCAUUAAAAGUUGUACCUGCACAAUAGCUCCUCUGCAAUAGAAAGGUAUAGGAGAGCUCAGGACGCAGGAAAGCUGUGCCCCGAGCUCUCCUAUACCUUUGUACGUAGCUGACAGGAAGUGUAUUUCCUCUCCACAUUCCUCCACAGCGCUGACGUUUUGCAGGCGUCUUCUCUGGAGCUGCAGAGAUAAAGCAGAAAGAAGAGGAGCUGAACAAACACUUCGACACGAUCCGAUGAUUCACAGCCUGAGCGGCGGAAAGCUGUGAGGAGAGGCCAAACGCCUGAAAAAGGCUGAAUUUAAGUUUUUGUUGGAAUUUGUACUUUUUCUACCCCAUUCAAUGCAGGUCAAGCAGAUUAUGCAACAGUUUUUUCCUCACUGCCAUCAGAAUGUUGAUCUGUUGAAACUCGACAUCAAAUUUGCACUACAAACAUGGCUGAUUUUUUUUAUAAUCCCUCUACUGCAUUUGGCACCAUAUUUAUUUAUUUGCACAGCACUGAACCUUUCCAUAUCAAUGCCUUUUGCACCAUGACUUUAAACUGCUUUUCCUUUUCUUCUACACUGGUUACAUCUGAUCACUGAUGAACUUUAUAAAUGGAAAUGUUCAUUUCACUGUUGUAAGCUGCUCAUUCACUGAUGAAAAGCUGUAUGCAUCUAAAUUUCAUUUUGUUUACACUGCGUGUGUACAGUACUGUAUUUGCUAAGAGGCAUGUUCCCCAAAUCAGAGGUCAGAACCAAAGUAAGGUAUCUGUGAGUUUUUAGAAUAUUGGUUUGAGGUGUUUUUGGAAAAAUGCAAAGUAGUUUCAAUCAGAGAAGAAACCAGGCUGUUGUCUCUACAGGAGAAGGACAACUGGAGCGGUAUCGCUCGUACGGUGGACCAUCUCUGCCUCUUCCUCAUCACUUCUGUGAUGACCUUUGGAACCAUCAUCAUCUUCCUCAUGGGAAUCUGUAACCACCCCCCACGCCUGCCCUUCCAAGGAGACCCACAUGACUACAGCGAGGACAAUCCUCGCCUUCUGUGACAGCGACUUUGUUCUUCUCUCUUCUUACAGAUUUUAAUAGGUUGAAGUGAUUAAUUCAUGUCUGAAUAAACAAUCCCUUUUCUUUA